rfam:Pteropus alecto contig64947, whole genome shotgun sequence.
GCUUCCUUCAGCAAUACAUAUACUAAAAUUAGAACGAUACAGAGAUUAGAAUGGCCCAGGCACGAGGAUGACAUGCAAAUUUGUGAAGUGUUCCAUAUUUUU